ensembl:lncRNA novel transcript
AGUGGGGAUGAAGUUUCCAGCACGUACCUUUGGAGGACUUAUUCAACCAUGACCCUUGCUUCUCAUUCAUGGAGGAAGAGGAGUGAAGAAUCCAAGUGGCAGACUUGGGAGCUCUAGCCCAUCCUUUUCCCGUCCUCUUAUUUUUGGGGGUCGGCCUGCCUGCUUAGCACUAAAUCACAUCACUAUGGGCACCACUGAGGGUGGUAUUUGAGUCACCAACACAACACUCCUGUAUCCAUCUGCAUUUGUCGAUGAGGCAUUCAUGGUGACUGAAAGUAUAUAGAAGAACAGUUGCUGGAGCAAAUUCUUGGCUUUACCAUGGCAACUUUCACAACGUUACAGCACCACAAAGAUGAAGUGGUUGGUGACAUACUCCAAAUGCUGCUCAAAUUUACAGAUUUUCUGGCUUUUAAAGAAAUG